AAGGAGCACCGGCUGAUCUGGUUCACCUCCUGGGUGGAUUGAUCGGUCCAUGCCGUGGCCGCGAGCGAACGUCUCGCGCACGGUCCGCUCAUUAGUGGAGCACUGGCUAGUCGGUCGGACCGGGUCGCCGGGCCGCUAGUACCGCCUGCCUCCUUCGGGGGGUGGGAGUGGGAACGGGGUCUCGGGGAUGAGGAUCCGGGUGAACACACUGUUGGGUCCUGAGCAAAGCCACCAGGUGCGCGGCCGCGUCGUGAAGAGUGGUGGCGUGUGGCGGGCCUCGCGGGAGACCGUGGAGCUGGUGAGGUUCUGAGUUUCCCUCUGCGGGACCGUCCGCCUGUCAUACCGGCUCGGAUGAGGUGGAAGCUGUUGCUUCCGGCUCGUGUGGGUGUCUGGUGGUGGGAUCGUGAGGGUCGCUGCGUGUUGUUUGAGAUUUGCAUAGUGGACGCGAGCAUCUUUGU
rnacentral:misc_RNA from 1 species